rnacentral:rRNA from 1 species
AUUGAACUCUAGCGGGAUGCUUUACACAUGCAAUUCCAACGAGCGGCGGACGGGUGAGUAAUGUAUGGGGACUGCCCGCUAGCGGGGGCUACCUACUGGCAACGGUAGCUAAUACCGCAUCCUAUCGGAUAACCCAUCGGGGCUUGACUGGUAGGUGAGGUAAUGGCUCCCCUAGGCGGCGAUCCCUCUCUGGUCUGAGAGGAUGAUCAGCCACACUGGGACUGAGACACGGCCCAGACUCCGACGGAGGCAGCAGUGGGGAAUAUGGCACAAUGGGCGCAAGCCUGAUGCAGCCAUGCCGCGUGUAUGAAGAAGGCCCUAGGGUUGUAAAGUACUUUCAGUCGGGAGGCGUUACCGACAGAAGAAGCACCGGCUAACUCCGUGCCAGCCGCCGCGGUAAUUC